UACAGAGGGUGCAAGCGUUGUUCGGAAUCAUUGGUCGUAAAGGGCGUGUAGGCGGGAUGGCGUGUCAGAUGUGAAAGCCCUCGGCUCAACCGAGGAAUUGCAUUUGAAACUGCCAUUCUUGAGUACGGGAGAGGAAAGUGGAAUUCCCAGUGUAGAGGUGAAAUUCGUAGAUAUUGGGAGGAACACCGGUGGCGAAGGCGACUUUCUGGACCGAUACUGACGCUGAAACGCGAAAGCGUGGGUAGCAAACAGG
rnacentral:rRNA from 1 species